AACGAACGCUGGCGGCGUGCCUAACACAUGCAAGUCGAACGAGACCUUCGGGUCUAGUGGCGCACGGGUGCGUAACGCGUGGGAACCUGCCUUUAGGUUCGGAAUAACUCAGAGAAAUUUGAGCUAAUACCGGAUGAUGUCUUCGGACCAAAGAUUUAUCGCCUUUAGAUGGGCCCGCGUUGGAUUAGCUAGUUGGUGGGGUAAAGGCCUACCAAGGCGACGAUCCAUAGCUGGUCUGAGAGGAUGAUCAGCCACACUGGGACUGAGACACGGCCCAGACUCCUACGGGAGGCAGCAGUGGGGAAUAUUGGACAAUGGGCGAAAGCCUGAUCCAGCAAUGCCGCGUGAGUGAUGAAGGCCUUAGGGUUGUAAAGCUCUUUUACCCGAGAUGAUAAUGACAGUAUCGGGAGAAUAAGCUCCGGCUAACUCGGUG
rnacentral:rRNA from 1 species